rnacentral:lncRNA from 1 species
UUUGAAUUGGCUACUUGAAGAAAUCCCACGACAAUUCUGUUUGGGCAGCAAAACAACCUCUUGCUUGAAAUCAGUUGGGUUCCCAUCUAUGUAUACCCAGAAGUGGGAUUACUGAGUCAUAAGGACUUUGGUGAACCUCUCCUGCCAGGGUGGAUGAUAUCACCAGGCCAUGAAUGUGUGGUCCAGAGAACUGGGCACCACUCAGAUGUGGACAUGGGGUCAAGUGCCGAACACCAUACUUUGCA